rnacentral:rRNA from 1 species
UGGGGAAUAUUGGACAAUGGGGGCAACCCUGAUCCAGCCAUGCCGCGUGAGUGAUGAAGGCCUUCGGGUUGUAAAGCUCUUUUGGCGGGGACGAUGAUGACGGUACCCGCAGAAUAAGCCCCGGCUAACUUCGUGCCAGCAGCCGCGGUAAGACGAAGGGGGCUAGCGUUGUUCGGAAUUACUGGGCGUAAAGCGAGUGUAGGCGGUUGCCGUAGUCAGGUGUGAAAGCCUUGAGCUCAACUCAAGAAAUGCACUUGAUACUGGGUGACUAGAGGACCGGAGAGGAUAGUGGAAUUCCCAGUGUAGUGGUGAAAUACGUAGAGAUUGGGAAGAACACCAGUGGCGAAGGCGGCUAUCUGGACGGUUACUGACGCUAAGACUCGAAAGCGUGGGGAGCAAACAGGAUUAGAUACCCUGGUAGUCCACGCGUAAACGAUGGGUGCUAGACGUUGGCGAGCUUGCUCGUCAGUGUCGCAGCUAACGCGUUAA